rnacentral:rRNA from 1 species
GUAGGGUGCGAGCGUUAAUCGGAAUUACUGGGCGUAAAGCGUGCGCAGGCGGCGCCGCAAGUCGAGUGUGAAAUCCCCGAGCUUAACUUGGGAAUUGCGCUCGAAACUACGAUGCUGGAGUGUGGCAGAGGGAGGUGGAAUUCCACGUGUAGCGGUGAAAUGCGUAGAGAUGUGGAGGAACACCGAUGGCGAAGGCAGCCUCCUGGGCCAACACUGACGCUCAUGCACGAAAGCGUGGGGAGCAAACAGGAUUAGAUACCCUGGUAGUCCACGCCCUAAACGAUGAUGACUAGUUGUUGGGGGAGUUAAAUCCCUUAGUAACGCAGCUAACGCGUGAAGUCAUCCGCCUGGGGAGUACGGUCGCAAGAUUA